rnacentral:RNase_P_RNA from 1 species
GGAGUCGGCCGGAUGGUCGCUGCUUUGCAAAAAGUGGAGGAAAGUCCGGGCUCCGAUGGACAGGGUGCCAGGUAACGCCUGGGAGGUGUGAGCCUACGGAAAGUGCCACAGAAAAUAUACCGCCCCCGAUCUUCGGAUUGGGUGGUAAGGGUGAAAUGGUGCGGUAAGAGCGCACCGCGCUGCUGGCAACAGCAGUGGCAGGGUAAACCCCACCCGGAGCAAGACCAAAUAGGGGGGCAGGCGAUUCGAUCGCCACGUGUGGUCCGCACGGUCCCCGGGUAGGUCGCUUGAGGUGUACGGUGACGUGCAUCCCAGAUGAAUGGCCAUUCAAGACAGAACCCGGCUUAUAGGCCGACUCCCAAC